rnacentral:rRNA from 1 species
UACGAAGGGGGCUAGCGUUGCUCGGAAUCACUGGGCGUAAAGCGCACGUAGGCGGCUCUUUAAGUCAGGGGUGAAAUCCUGGAGCUCAACUCCAGAACUGCCCUUGAUACUGAGGAGCUUGAGUAUGGAAGAGGGUUGCGGAAUUCCCGGUGUAGAGGUGAAAUUCGUAGAUAUCGGGAGGAACACCAGUGGCGAAGGCGGCAACCUGGGCCAAUACUGACGCUGAGGUGCGAAAGCGUGGGGAGCAAACAGG